UGACCCACUGAUGACCUCAUCAUUGGUAGAGGGUACAACUAGUAACUACCAGUUUUCUGCUAAGGUCUUCUCUCACUGCUUUCUCUCUCUCUCCUCGUGAAGACACUCUGUGGAUGUCAAAGAAGGACUGAGUCAUAGCGUAUCAGAGAGUGUUCCUCGUUAGGGAGAGACUACAGUAGCCAGCACUCCCCCGCGACCCAUCAUCAUGCCUCCUCCCCCUCCUCCUCCUCCUCCUGCUCCCCCUCCCCCCACACUGGCUCAGGCCAACACUGAGAAACCAAAA